UAGGCGUAUAGCUCAGUUGGUUAGAGCGCUACGUUGACAUCGUAGAGGUCUCCAGUUCGAGUCUGGAUAUGCCUACCAA
rnacentral:tRNA from 1 species